UAGCGUAGGGGGCAAGCGUUGUCCGGAUUUAUUGGGCGUAAAGAGCGUGUAGGCGGCCAGGUAGGUCUGCUGUGAAAACUCGGAGGCUUAAACCCUCGAGCCUGUCGGCGGAAACCAUCUGGGCUAGAGUCCGGAAGAGGAGAAUGGAAGUUCCCGGUGUAGCGGUGAAAUGCGCAGAUAAUCGGGAAGAACACCCGUGGCGAAGGCGGUUC
rnacentral:rRNA from 1 species